rnacentral:rRNA from 1 species
UACGAAGGGUGCAAGCGUUAAUCGGAAUUACUGGGCGUAAAGGGUGCGUAGGCGGUUCGUUAAGUCUGUCGUGAAAUCCCCGGGCUCAACCUGGGAAUGGCGAUGGAUACUGGCGAGCUAGAGUGUGUCAAAGGAUGGUGGAAUUCCCGGUGUAGCGGUGAAAUGCGUAGAGAUCGGGAGGAACAUCAGUGGCGAAGGCGGCCAUCUGGGACAACACUGACGCUGAAGCACGAAAGCGUGGGGAGCAAACAGG